rnacentral:lncRNA from 1 species
UUUCUUUUAAAAUUUCUAUCAAUUUAGUCUAAGUUUUCCCAUAAAUUCAUUAAAAAAAAGUUUAUAUUAUUAUAGACUAAAAAUAUUCUUAAUUCAUUCUUAAUUUUUUUUUAUUUCUUUCCUUUUAGUUUAAUUAGGUUUUAUUAUUUUGUAUGCCCUUUUAAUUUUGUACUCGUUAAUUAAGAUUUAGAUAUUUUAU